AAAUUAGUAAUAUUUAAUUAACUACAACAACUGUUGAUGUGUUUUCGUCUUCUUUUUCUAAAAUCGAUUUAUUUUUCUAAAUAUCAAACCCCUAAAUUUUCUUCAAAUUUAGCCAAAAUUAGGGGCACCACUUUAUUUAUUUUUAAUUUAUUUUUUAUGUUUUUUUCCAUCUUUUUCCUGAUUUUCCUUUUCUUCUUCCCAAUUUCCCUUUUUUUAUAUUUUCUCUUUUAUUUUUCUCGCCGCCGUUCACAGCUGUCGGAGCUCCGAUCGGGCACCAUCAGAACACUCCUCUCCACCAUCUCUCUUCAAAUCGUCGGUUAGUUUUCCAAGAAUUCGACCCAAAUUUGAUGAAACAAAGGCCAAAGCUUCGAUCUCUUUCUUUCUCCGAUCUCCCUUUUAUACCGUCAGAUCACCACGGGUCUCCGGUGUGUGGUACAUUGUGCCGUGGUUCGCCUUACCACCGUUGGAUCGUCGAACAGAGAUCCAGAGUUCCGAAUCCGAACUCGAACAGAGAAGUUUGGGAUGUUGAGUGGAGGUGAUGAGUGGGGCAAUGAUGGUGGUGCCCGAAUGGUGAGGUGAUGAAGGGUGCUGCUA